GGAGCUCAAUUGGUAAAUCAUGAGACUCUUACUCUCAGGGUUGUGGGUUUGAGCCCCACGUGGGGCA